CAGGAGUUGGCGGAUGCUUUAGUCCAGGUCUGGGAGGAGAUCCCUCAGGAGACCAUCCGCCACCUCAUCAGGAGCAUGCCCAGGUGUUGUAGAGGUCAUACAGGCACGUGGAGGCCACACACACUACUGAGCCUCAUUUUGACUUGUUUUAAGGACAUUACAUCAAAGUUGGAUCAGCCUGUAGUGUGGUUUUCCACUUUAAUUUUGAGUGUGACUCCAAAUCCAGACCUCCAUGGGUUGAUAAAUUGGAUUUCCAUUGAUUAUUUUUGUGUGGUUUUGUUGUCAGCACAUUCAACUAUGUAAAGAAAAAAGUAUUUUAAUAAGAUUAUUUCAUUCAUUCAGAUCUAUGAUGUUAUUUUAGUGUUCCCUUUAUUUUUUUGAGCAGUGUAACUAGCUGCCGAAUAGGCAUCAACUCACCACGUAGCUUAUUCUUAAUGUUUGGCCAUAGGCUACCAGAGUGAGGACAGACAUUUUUCGGAAUAAACGUGGUGGACCUAAGAUGCCAGCAUAAUACAAGGUCCAGUUCAGCCAGAAGUACCAACAACACAUUGUUAUGGUGCAAUAAAGUACCUCAUCUUGAAGAGGUCCACUCAUACCCAACCAAGAGAAUCAAGAUUAGUAAUAUAAAUGCAAAAAAUGUCCCAGAUACCUCUUUCAUGUCUGUCUACAGAACAACCCCAACCACAGUCUGACAAGUGCUGAGGGACUGAAGAGGAGAGAUGUCAGCGGACACCAUUGAGAAAUUGACAAAGCUGUUUGAAAUAGACCACUCUCCUUCAUCAGCUCUAAAAACGAUCAAAUAUGAGGUGGAUGUGCAUGCCUCUGUGGAUCGCUCCAUUUGCCCCGACCUUCAAUUCUGCUACAAAUUGUACCGCAAGCUUUUCAAGGAAGCAUGUGUUGCAUCGUAUGUGGAGAAGAAGAUUGAUGAUUCUAACGAGCAUCUGGAUAACUGCAAUGAAGAAUGUUCACAAUUUCGCAACAUUAUCCCUGACAGGCAAUAUAGAAGACUUAACAAUCUGGCUGUCUGAUGGUUGUAGUUCUCUCCUCCUACAAUAGACCGUGGCAAUGCGUCUGAGGACACCGUUGAAAUUGAGCGUGCUCCCGUUUCUGAUGUUAACGGCUCAGGUACAUCUGGAAAACUAGCUGAGGGGGUGACGUUAGAGGAAGAGUGGAUGGACAUCUUUGAAGACCUCAAAAAGAGGAUGAGGGAGGAUCCUGUGAGUUUCAGGCCUGCAGUAGCAUCCUUCGUUUCCAGCUUAAAGAAGAUGAAAACAGACAGUGAACUCAUAGCCGCACUACCAAACUUUGGCAUAACCAACCCUGGACCAACAGCAAAGUUUUACCGGGGACGGGCACGCCCCACAGAGAGCUCCGUAGGAGAGCAUGGACAUGGCACAUGCAGCUGGAAGAGGAAGGCACCCCAUUGAAUGUCUCAGUGUGUGGAAUAACACAUGGACAUUGGGAGUACUACACACAAAAAAGCAAGUCAACAUCAGUGGCCCCCUGUGCCCAUCAUCCACCUGCUCACCAUCUGUGACCUCCAGUGCACUAGCGCUCUGCCUACCGGCUCUAGGUCUCCUCCGCCUUGAACAAAACCAGGGACUAUUUCAAUGCAUUGUGGCCUCUCCAACACCAGAACCAGUGGCUAUUUCAAUAUUGCAUUCUUGCCUUUUUGUUUUACGUUAAUUCAAUGGAAGACGUUUCUGCAAUUUCAUAUCUUUUUAAAAUUGAUUCCAUGUUGAAGGACCAUCAGAUUUUAAAAAGCUGUUCUGCUAACCCAGUUGCAGGCCUAUACUAUCACUGAACCAAAGCAGUAGUUGUCUUGACUUAUAUCUCAAAUUGUAUUGGUCACAUACACAUGGUUAGCAGAUGUUAAUGCGAGUGUAGUGAAAUGCUUGUGCAUAUACUGGUAUAUGUUGUGCAUCAAGUUGUGUCCUUUUUAUGUUGAACAAAUGCAAGACUACAAUUUUAAUGAUGGGUUGUAAGACACAUAAUUAAGUGUUUAUUUGUACAUUAAAAAAAAAUAUCCAGAGGGGAACCUGCAAAAAAGAAGUUAUUUUUUUUAUUACAUCGCAUAAGUGUUUGAUGUGAAAUAAAACAUGUUACAAUUAAGAAUUG
rnacentral:lncRNA from 1 species